ACUGUCUAUUCUAAUAGGGGUUAUGGAGGUUAAACUGUCUAUUCUAAUAGGGGUUAUUGGAGGUUAAACUGUCUAUUCUAAUAGGGGUUAUUGGAGGUUAAACUGUCUAUUCUAAUAGGGGUUAUUGGAGGUUAAACUGUCUAUUCUAAUAGGGGUUAUUGGAGGUUAAACUGUCUAUUCUUAUAGGGGUUAUUGGAGGUUAAACUGUCUAUUCUAAUAGGGGUUAUUGGAGGUUAAACUGUCUAUUCUUAUAGGGGUUAUUGGAGGUUAAACUGUCUAUUCUAAUAGGGGUUAUGGAGGUUAAACUGUCUAUUCUAAUAGGGGUUAUGGAGGUUAAACUGUCUAUUCUAAUAGGGGUUAUGGAGGUUAAACUGUCUAUUCUAAUAGGGGUUAUGGAGGUUAAACUGUCUAUUCUUAUAGGGGUUAUUGGAGGUUAAACUGUCUAUUCUAAUAGGGGGUUAUUGGAGGUUAAACUGUCUAUUCUAAUAGGGGUUAUUGGAGGUUAAACUGUCUAUUCUUAUAGGGGUUAUUGGAGGUUAAACUGUCUAUUCUUAUAGGGGUUAUGGAGGUUAAACUGUCUAUUCUAAUAGGGGUUAUUGGAGGUUAAACUGUCUAUUCUUAUAGGGGUUAUUGGAGGUUAAACUGUC